ensembl:misc_RNA Metazoa_SRP Metazoan signal recognition particle RNA
GUUGGGCAUGGUGGUGCAUGCCUAUAGUCCCAGCUACUCAGGAGGCUGAGAUGGGAGGAUUGCUUGAGCCCAGGGAGGUUGAGACUGCAGUGAGCUGAGAUCAUGCCACUGCACUCCAGCCUGGGCGAUAGAGUGAGACCCUGCCUCAA